rnacentral:rRNA from 1 species
AGAGUUUGAUCAUGGCUCAGAGCGAACGCUAGCGGCGGGCCUCAAACAUGCAAGUCGCACGCGAAAGUGUAGCAAUACACAAGUAGAGUGGCGCACGGGUGAGUAACACGUAAUUAACUUCCCCUCUCGCUGGGGAUAACUCCGGGAAACCGGAGCUAAUACCGAAUGAUCUCUUUUGGACUGCGGUCUGAACGAGUAAAGCCUUACGGUGCGAGAGGAUAGGGUUGCGGCCUAUUAACUAGUUGGUGGGGUAAUAGCCUACCAAGGUUACGAUAGGUAGCUGGUCUGAGAGGACGAUCAGCCACACUGGAACUGACACACGGUCCAGACUCCCACGGGAGGCAGCAGUUGGGAAUUUUGGACAAUGGGCGCAAGCCUGAUCCAGCCACGCCGCGUGAAUGAUGAAGGCCUUCGGGUCGUAAAGUUCUUUUAGUUGGGAAAAACACAAUGAUGGUACCAACAGAAAAAGCACCGGCUAACUCCGUGCCAGCAGCCGCGGUAAUACGGAGGGUGCAAGCGUUGCUCGGAAUUAUUGGGCGUAAAGCGUAUGUAGGUGGUUUUCCAAGUCUGAUGUGAAAUCCCGGGGCUCAACCCCGGAACUGCAUUGGAUACUGGAAAGCUAGAGGAUGAUAGAGGAUGGUGGAAUUCCAGGUGUAGGGGUGAAAUCCGUAGAUAUCUGGAGGAACAUCAGUGGCGAAGGCGGCCAUCUGAAUCAUACCUGACACUGAGAUACGAAAGCGUGGGGAGCAAACAGGAUUAGAUACCCUAGUAGUCC